GUUACUUCAAGAGUUCUUUGAGUCAAAUGAAGGGAGAAAACUAAGGAGCCGGAGAAAUGCAAGGAGUUUGAGAGAUUCAAGGAGCUAGAAAUUUGCAGAAUAACCGUUCAACAAAGUGUUUCAAGGUUCAACAUAGUGGUAUAACGAAUGGUGAUUCCUCUUUCAAGUUUGAAAGAGCACUAAAGUUUUCAGAAAUUAAAGGCCCUUGAGAAUGUUUCCUUUUUAUUUGUCUGUUAUGGCAAAACUUGUUUAUGAUGUAGGGG